rnacentral:tRNA from 1 species
CCGGCACAAAGUUGGUCUUAUGGUCUAGUGGUUAUGACUGUGGAUUUUGAUAUCCAAAAAUCUUCCAUCGACCCCGGUUCGAACCCGGGUAAGACCUA